rnacentral:rRNA from 1 species
UACGUAGGGGGCAAGCGUUGUCCGGAAUCAUUGGGCGUCAAGCGCGUGUAGGCGGCCCGGUAAGUCCGCUGUGAAAGUCGGGGGCUCAACCCUCGAAUGCCGGUGGAUACUGUCGGGCUAGAGUGCGGAAGAGGCGAGUGGAAUUCCUGGUGUAGCGGUGAAAUGCGCAGAUAUCAGGAGGAACACCAAUUGCGAAGGCAGCUCGCUGGGACGUGACUGACGCUGAGACGCGAAAGCGUGGGGAGCAAACAGG